ACGAGCAGCAAUAUGAUCAUGCAAAACAUCUAUCUUAUAGUUACUCGUUGUUCGGCUUUGCUUCGGAUUUAGUUCUUCUUGUGAUUCAUUAAUUUUUGAAUAAUCUAGAGGGAGUAGAUCUUCAUCAUUAUCAUAAGGUUGAAACUCAAAGUUUUUAAUUGCAUAAUUCCUAAUAAAAUUACGAAUGACCAUGAAAGCCACC
rnacentral:lncRNA from 1 species